rnacentral:rRNA from 1 species
UACGGAGGGUGCAAGCGUUAUCCGGAUUUAUUGGGUUUAAAGGGUGCGUAGGCGGUUAUAUAAGUCAGCGGUGAAAUUUUUCGGCUCAACCGGAAACAUGCCGUUGAUACUGUAUAGCUUGAAUAUGGUUGCUGUGAGUGGAAUGUGUAGUGUAGCGGUGAAAUGCUUAGAUAUUACACAGAAUCUCGAUUGCGAAGGCAACUCACAAAGCCAAUAUUGACGCUGAGGCACGAAAGUGUGGGGAUCAAACAGG